rnacentral:rRNA from 1 species
AGAGUUUGAUCCUGGCUCAGGAUGAACGCUGGCGGCGUGCUUAACACAUGCAAGUCGAACGGUGAACACGGAGCUUGCUCUGUGGGAUCAGUGGCGAACGGGUGAGUAACACGUGAGAACCUGCCCCUGACUCUGGGAUAAGCGCUGGAAACGGCGUCUAAUACUGGAUAUGUGACGUGAUCGCAUGGUCUGCGUCUGGAAAGAAUUUCGGUUGGGGAUGGGCUCGCGGCCUAUCAGCUUGUUGGUGAGGUAAUGGCUCACCAAGGCGUCGACGGGUAGCCGGCCUGAGAGGGUGACCGGCCACACUGGGACUGAGACACGGCCCAGACUCCUACGGGAGGCAGCAGUGGGGAAUAUUGCACAAUGGGCGCAAGCCUGAUGCAGCAACGCCGCGUGAGGGAUGACGGCCUUCGGGUUGUAAACCUCUUUUAGCAGGGAAGAAGCGAAAGUGACGGUACCUGCAGAAAAAGCGCCGGCUAACUACGUGCCAGCAGCCGCGGUAAUACGUAGGGCGCAAGCGUUAUCCGGAAUUAUUGGGCGUAAAGAGCUCGUAGGCGGUUUGUCGCGUCUGCUGUGAAAUCCGGAGGCUCAACCUCCGGCCUGCAGUGGGUACGGGCAGACUAGAGUGCGGUAGGGGAGAUUGGAAUUCCUGGUGUAGCGGUGGAAUGCGCAGAUAUCAGGAGGAACACCGAUGGCGAAGGCAGAUCUCUGGGCCGUAACUGACGCUGAGGAGCGAAAGGGUGGGGAGCAAACAGGCUUAGAUACCCUGGUAGUCCACCCCGUAAACGUUGGGAACUAGUUGUGGGGUCCAUUCCACGGAUUCCGUGACGCAGCUAACGCAUUAAGUUCCCCGCCUGGGGAGUACGGCCGCAAGGCUAAAACUCAAAUGAAUUGACGG